rnacentral:lncRNA from 14 species
UGGUCAUAGAACUCUUCCUGAAUUCCAUCUUAUGCUCUUUGACUGCUGCAUACACCAUUUUGGAAAAUAUGCAGAAGAUUGUCAAUGCAGGAUGACACGAGGGGCUCUAUUAUCAAUCAAGCAUACUACAGUUUGUGCCACAAGAGGAAAGCAAUUACUAAGGUGGAAUUGGGCUGUAAACAGUGUGUAA